GAUGAACGCUGGCGGCAUGCUUUACACAUGCAAGUCGGACGGGAAGUGCUGUUUCCAGUGGCGGACGGGGGAGUAACGCGUGAGAACCUGCCCUUGGGCCGUGACCAACCGCUGGAAACGGCUGCUAAUACCCCGUAGACUGCGGACCGAAAGGAGGGAUCCGCCCAAGGAGGGGCUCGCUUUUGAUUAGCUAGUUGGUGAUGUCAUAGCUUACCAAUGCUGUGAUCAGUAGCUGCUCCGAGAGGAUGAUCAGACACACUUGUAGUGAGACGAGGGCCAGAGUGCGGAGUGAUGGAGCAGCGGGGAAAUUCCGACAAUGGGGGGAAGCAUGAAGGAGGAAUGCCGUGUGGAGAGAAAAGUGCUACGGUAGAUGAACUUAUUUUCGUGGAGGAGAAAAAAUGACGGUAUCAUACGAAUAAGCACCGGCUAACUCCGUG
rnacentral:rRNA from 1 species